ensembl:lncRNA
GGGAGGGACACCCCCAUUAAAGCCGCAAGUUCUCGCACCUCUCUCCUCCCGGAGGUGGCAGAUUCCCCCUGCGCGCUCCACCCCCACCCACGGCCUCUCUCCUUUUCCUUCUUCCCCCGCAGCUGCGCCCAGUCGGACGCCUACUGGUUCACGGGCCGCCACUGCGAGCAGUCCAUCAGCAAGGUGGGCGUGGCCGUCGGGGUAGCCCUGGGCCUGGCCGUGCUGCUCCUGCUGAUCCUCCUGCUGGCCGUCCUGCUCUGCUGGAAGCGUUGCUGCCGCCGCCGGGAUAAGGAGGACCGCAGGCNGACAGGUGGGAAUCCGGAGGAGGAGAAGUGGUACGAGAACACGUCGGACUGGGUGUCCCGUGCUCACGGCCCGAGCCCUGGGGGCCCCGAGGCUCGUCAACCCAGCGCCCGGGCAGAUCCUGCCCCAGUGGCGACCGGCGAGCAAACGAGUCAGCCAGCGGGGGAGGACGACGGCCACCGCGCAGGCCCGCCAGAACCUGAAAGCAGCGUGGGUGGCGAAGGCAAGAGCCCCCCCUCCCAGCAGGGGUCCUUCCGGCCCUGCCUGGAGAAAGUGGACACUUCUCUGCGGGCGCAGAUCGCUCGGCCCCAGGUGACCAAGCUGUGAAGAAGAGGCGUGGGACAGAGACCGUGCGGAGCAGAACCCUCGCCGCCUCGCCCCGGGGGCCUGCACCUGCUGCGCUGGGAAUCGGAACAUGCCAGGAGCUGCGGUGCUUGCCGGCCAGCUGUGGCUCUGGCCUCUGGCCUCCUCCAGCUGAGCAACGGGACGCGCCUCCACUGGGCACGGCAGGGCUUCUGGGCUUGCCAGGGGCCUUCCGGAAGUGAGCGUCCUUUGAGCUUCUGCGCAGAGACUUGAAGUGGUGCCCGCGUGUGCCAGGGACGGGUGUCUGGGUGGCUCAGGGCUGCGCUUGUGGCCAGCGGGAGGUGGCGGUCUCCUUGGAUGGCGGCCCUCCUCAGUCUCUGCAGGCCAGGGGCUGUGCCGCUGUGCCCUGGGCAGCCGUCAGGCGCCCCUUCCUCUGGAUCCCUCCUCCUUCAGGGCACCCCUCCCCACAGGCAACUCCUGUGCCGCUCACGGGCAAAGGAGCCCAGGGUGGCCCUCCUCUGGUCAGGUGCCCGGGAGNGAGGCCAGCCGGCAGGGGCCUCCAGCUAGAGGAGGGAGGGGGCCACCAGCCACUCCUGGAAGGGUUUCCAAGGCUGAGAUCCCAGAUAGGGUCCAGAGUGCGGGCGGGCAUCGCUGNGUGUCGGCAGAGGGGUGGGCUUUGUGGCGUCAGGGCCUGGUUCCACGCGAGGCUGCAGGUCAGCCCUUUGACCAGAGGGGCUCUCUCCCGCUGAACUGGUCUGCCGUGCUGCUUUCCCAGCUCAGCCGACCUUGUGGCCUCUGCUCUUGACGUCUUUUGUGUCCAGCCAGCCGUUUCCUCCUCUCCUCCAGCCUUUGAUGAUCAAACUCUGAGUGCAAUAUGUUCUGAAAUGAGGUGCCAGCUUUGCACACUGUCACUUGACAAUAAAGGUCCUAAUCCUGUCCCCCA